GUAGGUGGCAAGCGUUGUCCGGAAUUAUUGGGCGUAAAGCGCGCGCAGGCGGUUCUUUAAGUCUGAUGUGAAAGCCCACGGCUCAACCGUGGAGGGUCAUUGGAAACUGGAGAACUUGAGUACAGAAGAGGAAAGCGGAAUUCCACGUGUAGCGGUGAAAUGCGUAGAGAUGUGGAGGAACACCAGUGGCGAAGGCGGCUUUCUGGUCUGUAACUGACGCUGAGGCGCGAAAGCGUGGGGAGCAAACAGGGAUUAGAUACCCUGGUAGUCCACGCCGUAAACGAUGAGUGCUAAGUGUUAGGGGUUUCCGCCCCCUUAGUGCUGCAGCUAACGCAUUAAGCACUCCGCCUGGGGAGUACGGCCGCAAGGCUG
rnacentral:rRNA from 1 species